rnacentral:tRNA from 1 species
GCUAUAGUAGCAUAAAGUAAAAUGUAUCAGAUUUAGGCUCUGAAGAUAAAAGUAAUUUUCUAUUGUG